CCGGGCUGCUCCCUCAGACACAACAGCCCGGGCGUGGGAACCGCGCCGCUCUCGCGAGAGCCCGCUGCCGGCCGGCAUGCGGACAGCGGCGCAGCUGAAGUGCGUAAGAUGCGUUUGUUUAGCAAACAGAAGCAGUGGGGUCUGGCAGAGUCCCAGGCAGCUGAGCGAGCCUGUGGCGACAGGCGGCUGAGAGCGCACGGGGACAAGAGCGGUCUGCCGCACGGCGCUGCCACACGGGCUGUGCUCCGACGUCUGAUAAAGACCGCAGAAAAAGACGAUCCCUAUUUUGGAUUCAUUUAACAACACCCUUCGGGGCGCGGGUGUGAUCGUCCAUUAUGAGACUAAGUUUGAAAACUAAUCCUUUUACAUUAAGACUUCUGUCUGUUUCAACUUCGUCUGUGUUUAGUAUAACAUGUCAGUCUAACUCCGGGACAGAUGCUACAUUGAUUUAAAGAUUGCUGAGGUUCCAAAGCCCACAUCUUUUUUACUAUGUUAGCUCUACGUCUGCUGUUUUCCAAAUUACGGGGGAAAAUAACAUUGCAGUAGUCCCAUGAAUAAGAUUUCAGAUUUCUUGCCCACAUAUGCGCUUCACUGCUUAUGCUAAUUCAAUGAAUAAUGUCUGAGAUAAAUAAAAACACGUUUCAAGCGA